rnacentral:rRNA from 1 species
GACGAACCGUGCGAACGUUGUUCGGAAUCACUGGGCUUAAAGGGCGCGUAGGCGGCCGACCAAGUCCGGGGUGUAAGCCCCCAGCUCAACUGGGGAAGUGCCCCGGAUACUGGCCGGCUCGAGGGAGGUAGGGGCGGAUGGAACUUCCGGUGGAGCGGUGAAAUGCGUUGAUAUCGGAAGGAACGCCGGUGGCGAAAGCGAUCCGCUGGCCCUCUACUGACGCUGAGGCGCGAAAGCCAGGGGAGCAAACGGG